UCCGAGUUGACCCCGGCAGUCUCCCACGAGUCCCCACCACCCCGAAGGGCGUGCUGGCAACAUAGGACGAGGGUUUCGCUCGUUAUAGGACUUGACCAAACAUCUCACGACACGGGCUGACGACAGCCAUGCAGCACCUGUGCACGGACUCCGAAGAGGGGCCGAUGUUUCCACCGGCUUUCCCGUGCAUGUCAAGCCCAGGUAAGGUUCUUCGCGUUGCUUCGAAUUAAACCACAUGCUCCACCGCUUGUGCGGGCCCCCGUCAAUUCCUUUGAGUUUCAGCCUUGCGGCCGUACUCCCCAGGCGGGGCACUUACUGCGUUAGCGACGGCACCGGGAGGGUCGCUCCCCCCGACGCCUAGUGCCCAUCGUUUACGGCGUGGACUAC
rnacentral:misc_RNA from 1 species